UACGGGGGGGGCAAGCGUUGUUCGGAAUUACUGGGCGUAAAGGGCGCGUAGGCGGCCUGAUAAGUUGGGGGGGAAAUCCUGCGGCUUAACCGCAGGGCUGCCUUCUAAACUGUCGGGCUCGAGCACGGUAGAGGCAGAUGGAAUUCCCGGUGUAGCGGUGGAAUGCGUAGAGAUCGGGAAGAACAUCAGUGGCGAAGGCGGUCUGCUGGGCCGUUGCUGACGCUGAGGCGCGACAGCGUGGGGAGCAAACAGG
rnacentral:rRNA from 1 species